rnacentral:rRNA from 1 species
UACGAAGGGUGCAAGCGUUACUCGGAAUUACUGGGCGUAAAGCGUGCGUAGGUGGUUUGUUAAGUCUGUUGUGAAAGCCCCGGGCUCAACCUGGGAAUGGCAAUGGAUACUGGCAAGCUAGAGUGCGGUAGAGGGUAGUGGAAUUCCCGGUGUAGCGGUGAAAUGCGUAGAGAUCGGGAGGAACACCAGUGGCGAAGGCGGCUACCUGGACCAGCACUGACACUGAGGCACGA